rnacentral:lncRNA from 1 species
UUGACAGCAAUGUGCUUUAUUUAUUUAAUUUUUUUUAGGAGGUACCAGGGAGUAAACCUGGGAACUUGUACCUGUGAGGCAGGCACUCAACCAUCUGCUCCACAACAAUGCACUUUAGAAACCACUCAAAUUAUUGGUAUGAGUGCAACAUUAAACAAUGUUGAAGACCUACAAGAGUUCCUUCAAGCAGAAUAUUAUACCAGUCAGUUCAGACCAGUAUGUACCUAAGGUUUGCAGUAUAUUGAUUUGUUAGGUAUUUAUCUUUCUUAGAA